UACGUAGGCAGCGAGCGUUGUUCGGAGUUACUGGGCGUAAAGAGUGCGUAGGCGGUUUUCUAAGUUUGGUGUGAAAUCCCCCGGCUCAACUGGGAGGGUGCGCCGAAGACUGGAAGGCUUGAGUAUGGGAGAGGUAAGCGGAAUUCCUGGUGUAGCGGUGAAAUGCGUAGAUAUCAGGAGGAACACCGGUGGCGAAGGCGGAUCUCUGGGCCUGUUCUGACGCUGAGGCGCGAAAGCUAGGGGAGCGAACAGG
rnacentral:rRNA from 1 species